UACGGGGGGGGCAAGCGUUGUUCGGAAUUACUGGGCGUAAAGGGUGCGUAGGCGGCUUUCUAAGUUGGAUGUGAAAACUAUGGGCUCAACCCAUAGCCUGCAUCCAAAACUGGAGAGCUUGGGUUCUGGAGGGGAAAGCGGAAUUCCUGGUGUAGCGGUGAAAUGCGUAGAUAUCGGGAGGAACACCUGUGGCGAAAGCGGCGCACUGGACCACAACUGACGCUGAGGCGCGAAAGCUAGGGGAGCAAACAGG
rnacentral:rRNA from 1 species